GGACUACAGGGGUUUCUAAUCCUGUUCGCUCCCCACGCUUUCGCUCCUCAGCGUCAGUACAGGCCCAGAGAACCGCCUUCGCCACCGGUGUUCCUCCCGAUAUCUGCGCAUUUCACCGCUACACCGGGAAUUCCGUUCUCCCCUACCUGCCUCUAGUCUGCCCGUAUCGAAUGCAGACCCGGAGUUAAGCCCCGGGCUUUCACACUCGACGCGACAAACCGCCUACGAGCUCUUUACGCCCAAUAAUUCCGGACAACGCUUGCGCCCUACGUAUUACCGCGGCUGCUGGCAC
rnacentral:rRNA from 1 species